UUGGAUUGAACAUGAGAGUUUGAUCCUGGCUCAGAACGAACGCUGGCGGCAGGCCUAACACAUGCAAGUCGGACGAGAAGGUUC
rnacentral:rRNA from 1 species